GAUGGGCGGCGGUGGCAGACAAGACGACUUGGGUGUGUAACCUCUUGAGAAGACGCCUUGCAAGAAACGGUAGUGGGAACAGCUUGCAGUCACCGGGAGAUGGCCGCGGGUACCCUUGCUGACUGUUUGCCGGAAGAGGUUUGGGCCGAUGCUCCCGGCAGCGGCGGUGGUGCCGCCAGCUGUGGAGCGAGGGGCAUGCGGGGUGUCCCAAGGUCAGCGGGGCGUGCCUCCUCGUUGCAGGUGUGAAUACCUCUGCCGUAUCGUGGAGUGGCUUGCAGGGUACGUAGCAGUGCUGGCUUGAAAGCGGGGGAGCGGCUUGUAGAUUGUGGCCCUCGCUAUCGGCUGCGUAGGCCUGUGGGUGUGCUCGGGGCUUGUAGGCUUGACGCCUGUAGAGUUGCUUGAAGCUGGUGUGCUCGAGGCUUGUAGGCUGGACGCCUGUAGAGUUGCUUAUAGCUGGUGUGCUCGAGGCUUGUAGAUGGCGCCUUGUGAGUUGCACGUAGGUGGCGACUUGUGAGAUGCUUGUAGCUGGCGCCGUGUGAGUUGCACGUAGGUGGCGACUUGUGAGAUGCUUGUAGCUGGCGCCAUGUGAGUUGCACGUAGGUGGCGACUUGGGAGAUGCUUGUAGCUGGCGCCUUGUGAGUUGCACGUAGGUGGCGACUUGGGAGAUGCUUGUAGCUGGCGCCUUGUGAGUUGCACGUAGGUGGCGACUUGGGAGAUGCUUGUAGCUGGCGCCUUGUGAGUUGCACGUAGGUGGCGACUUGGGAGAUGCUUGUAGCUGGCGCCUUGUGAGUUGCACGUAGGUGGCGACUUGGGAGAUGCUUGUAGCUGGCGCCUUGUGAGUUGCACGUAGGUGGCGACUUGUGAGAUGCUUGUAGCUGGCGCCUUGUGAGUUGCACGUAGGUGGCGACUUGUGAGAUGCUUGUAGCUGGCGCCUUGUGAGUUGCACGUAGGUGGCGACUUGUGAGAUGCUUGUAGCUGGCGCCUUGUGCGUUGCCGCGGACGGCAGGUGCGGUGCCGCGGACGGCAGGUGCGUUGACUCCUUCUUCCCUUGUACGCCUGUCCCCGGAGUUUGGCGGUGAGUUCUCGUGGCUUGGAGGAGAACGAGGUAGCGAAGGCACAGGCGCGGGGUGACCGCUGCCAACCAAAUGUGACGGGCUUGUCGGGGGGCGUUUAAAGGGUGUUGAUUAAGACUUCAGCUUCCUUAAGGCGAAUUAUAUUCGUAGCCUUUAUGUACAAGAAGCGACGGAGCGAGAGCGACUGUCGUUGUGUGUCAGUCGGACUCUCGUGAAGGAGUGGCGAGUUACAGGUUGGAAAAUAAUGGUUACAAUUGGUCACGUAUGUCAAGGUGACCUCCACGCACCAUCGGAGUGCUAAGUAUACAAAACUGAGACGGUAAACACUGACGGACGACAUUCCUAUAAGGUGGCGUGAUCUAUCUGUCGUGGGGUUUUUCCAUUGACAAUUGUAUGCCUAAUUCGUGGUGAUAUUAAAUAAUAAUAAUACAUUGAUAUCCUACU